GGCUGAAAUUCGCCUUCAUGAAGUCGGAAUUGCUAGUAAUGGCAGGUCAGCAUACUGCCGUGAAUACGUUCCCGGGCCUUGUACACACCGCCCGUCACACCAUGAGAGUUGGGAAUACCCGAAGCCUGUGAGCCAACAAACGAGGCAGCAGUCGAAGGUAGAAUCAAUGAGUUGGGGUAAAGUCGUAACAAGGUACC
rnacentral:rRNA from 1 species